rnacentral:rRNA from 1 species
GUGCCAGCAGCCGCGGUAAUACGUAGGGGGCUAGCGUUGUCCGGAUUUAUUGGGCGUAAAGAGCGUGUAGGCGGCUAGAUAGGUCCGUUGUGAAAACUCGAGGCUCAACCUCGAGACGUCGAUGGAAACCAUCUGGCUAGAGUCCGGAAGAGGAGAGUGGAAUUCCUGGUGUAGCGGUGAAAUGCGCAGAUAUCAGGAGGAAUACCGAUGGCGAAGGCAGGUCUCUGGGCUAACACUGACGCUCAUGCACGAAAGCCAGGGGAGCAAACGGGAUUAGAUACCAUGGUAGUCCUAGCCCUAAACGAUGGAUGCUUGGUGUGGCCGGUACCCAAUCCGGAUGUGCCGAAGCUAACGCGAUAAGCAUCCCGCCUGGGGAGUACGGGCGCAAGGCUGAAACUCAAAGGAAUUGACGG